CCAGAGAUGGAUUGGUGCCUUCGGGAACUGUGAGACAGGUGCUGCAUGGCUGUCGUCAGCUCGUGUUGUGAAAUGUUGGGUUAAGUCCCGCAACGAGCGCAACCCUUAUCCUUUGUUGCCAGCGGUUAGGCCGGGAACUCAAAGGAGACUGCCAGUGAUAAACUGGAGGAAGGUGGGGAUGACGUCAAGUCAUCAUGGCCCUUACGACCAGGGCUACACACGUGCUACAAUGGCAUAUACAAAGAGAAGCG
rnacentral:rRNA from 1 species